rnacentral:rRNA from 1 species
AGAGUUUGAUCCUGGCUCAGGAUAAACGCUGGCGGCGCACAUAAGACAUGCAAGUCGAACGGAAGUCGUUACGAAAUGGAAUGAAGAUUUAUCUGAUUGAAGUUUUGUAACAAUGGCUUUAGUGGCGGACUGGUGAGUAACACGUAAGCAAUCUACCUAUUAGAGGGGAAUAACAAUGAGAAAUCAUUGCUAAUACCGCAUAAGCUUGUAGUACCGCAUGGUACAGCAAGAAAAGGAGCAAUCCGCUAAUAGAUGAGCUUGCGGCUGAUUAGCUAGUUGGUGUGGUAACGGCAUACCAAGGCAACGAUCAGUAGCCGGGCUGAGAGGCUCUUCGGCCACAUUGGGACUGAGAUACGGCCCAGACUCCUACGGGAGGCAGCAGUCGGGAAUUUUGCGCAAUGGAGGAAACUCUGACGCAGUGACGCCGCGUAUAGGAAGAAGGUUUUCGGAUUGUAAACUAUUUUAGUCAGGGAAGAAAAAUGACAGUACCUGAAGAAUAAGCUCCGGCUAACUACGUGCCAGCAGCCGCGGUAAUACGUAGGGAGCAAGCGUUAUCCGGAUUUAUUGGGUGUAAAGGGUGCGUAGACGGGAAGACAAGUUGGUUGUGAAAGCCCUCGGCUCAACUGAGGAACUGCAACCAAAACUAUCAUUCUUGAGUGCGGGAGAGGAAAGUGGAAUUCCUAGUGUAGCGGUGAAAUGCGUAGAUAUUAGGAGGAACACCAGUGGCGAAGGCGACUUUCUGGACCGUAACUGACGUUGAGGCACGAAAGUGUGGGGAGCAAACAGGAUUAGAUACCCUGGUAGUCCACGCUGUAAACGAUGAAUACUAGGUGUGGGGGGACUGACCCCUUCCGUGCCGCAGUUAACACAAUAAGUAUUCCACCUGGGGAGUACGAUCGCAAGAUUGAAACUCAAAGGAAUUGACGGGGGCCCGCACAAGCAGUGGAUUAUGUGGUUUAAUUCGACGUAACGCGAAGAACCUUACCGGGAUUUGACAUCCUACUAACGAGGUAGAGAUACAUUAGGUGCCCUUCGGGGAAAGUAGAGACAGGUGGUGCAUGGUUGUCGUCAGCUCGUGUCGUGAGAUGUUGGGUUAAGUCCCGCAACGAGCGCAACCCCUAUUGUUAGUUGCUACGAAAGAGCACUCUAGCGAGACUGCCGUUGACAAAACGGAGGAAGGUGGGGACGACGUCAAAUCAUCAUGCCCCUUAUGUCCCGGGCUACACACGUAAUACAAUGGCGAUCAACAGAGGGAAGCAAAGCCGCGAGGCAGAGCAAAACCCUAAAAGUCGUCUCAGUUCGGAUUGCAGGCUGAAACCCGCCUGCAUGAAGUUGGAAUUGCUAGUAAUCGCGGAUCAGCAUGCCGCGGUGAAUACGUUCCCGGGCCUUGUACACACCGCCCGUCACACCAUGAGAGUCGGGAACACCCGAAGUCCGUAGUCUAACCGCAAGGAGGGCGCGGCCGAAGGUGGGUCUGAUAAUCGGGGUGAAGUCGUAACAAGGUA